GGCUUACCCAUAUAACUGGCGAGUUCUUCGCUGUAUAAGUACAUUGGGAUACGCUUUGCCGUCAAAGUGAAUGCAAGUCUCUCCUUAUAUCUUUCCUAAACAAGCAUCUCCCGAGCGCCGUCGAAAAAAUCCCAACGGCGAGGUUUUACUCUGAUCCGAUUAAUGGCUUAUGAUCUUUUAUUUAUUUUCAUGUCUGUGAAAUCUCAGGGGUCCGUCGAUCCACUAGCGACGCUUUUGGGAAGCCUUCGAGUUGUAUGAUUGAUAGCUUAUAAGCCAUUACAGUGCUCUUUGCUUUGAUUGAUUAGUUCGUGACGUGUUGAGAACAGUUAAAGGGCUUUCGGAAACAGCGCUAAGGCUUCCAACGUACGGCAAGACAGCCAGAUAUCAAGAGCUGACAUGAAUACGUCUGUCAGGAGUCGAGCUAUCGGCCUACAUCUUUUUAAAACGUGAUGGUUCACGCAAAAUGCGAGCUCUUAGCCGGUGGGCGGGAGAGAUGAGAAUCGAUUAGGGUUAGGGGUCAAGGGUUGGUUCGUUUCGUCUGUAAUGUGGUUUCUUCCAUACUUGAAAUCUUGACUUCUGUCUGACACAGCGAAUCAAUGCAUCACAAACCGAGAUCAAGAUUUGCUUUGAUGCAAUUUCCUUUUAUCUUCGAUGAACAUAAACACGACAUGAGGUCGUGCGAAUGGAGUUCCGUGAAAGCCUCCCGUACAGGGGGCCUGGCACGAGACACAUGGAGUGACGAUAUCAUUCACUUCGACAAUGUGGAGCUUCUAAUCUUGUUCCUAUAUCCAUCCCGUCAUGCAUCAUCUGCCAGAGUCUCGUAGUAAUCUUGGCAGCGGCUUGUGAAAUAUUUUAAACGCUGGAGCCGCGACUUCUCAAGGGUUAACCUAGCUGUAUUUUGAUUGAUGGUGCUCAUGAUCGCAAUUUUCGAGAGUUUUUUUUUAUAUUUGCGGAGACGUUUAAUCAACUAAUAAUUGCUAAUUAUAUGCGAGUUUGUUCAAGAAGGGAUCUGACGUUUAUAAAAUGAGUUAUGGUGGAAGGGUGGGUGGACUCGCGGAAAAAAAUACUUGUAGCCGCACAAGUGCAGGCUCCUUUCUCUGUUCUCCCGUUGACUAGAGACUCGUCAAAUCUUUCAAAGUGCAAUCUAUGAAAGCCAGUACAGUAGCAGGGAUCAAGUUUAUAAAAAUAAAAAUAAAUUCUAUAAAAAAAAAAAGAAAAAAAGAAAAAGAAAACGUGUAAGACCUAUGUUUCUCUAGAUUUUCUUUGUUUUGCGUCUUAUACAUACCAAAUGGACGCCAACAUCCAUAGCGACGGAAAUAACGAAUUGUAUCCAUUCUUGUUUGGUCAACUUUCUAUUUUGCACUCGGAAUUCCUUCCUCUAUUUGUAAACGUUGGCUCAAAGGCUCGCAGUCCCGCUGAACAACUGGUAAAUAUUAUUGCAAAUCGCUAGGAGAGCUGGUCGCAUUUUCCCCCUUUAAAAAUGGACGCGUGGAAAAAAAAAACAAAUUAAUAGCUGAUACCUCAGAAAUAGCCCACAGCUAUGCAUCUAUUACGAGUCAGCAUGCUGUUUUGAACAAUAUAAUGAUUUAUGCUACACAAUGAUGCGAAAAGAAAAUUAAUAGCAAACGAUGUUUGUCUUGCUUGUGAUAUGAAUGGAAAACUCUCCCCGCGUGGCAGAAAAUUCGGUUAAUUAUCCACAAAGAUAAACCAAUCUUUGAAGACAUCAAGUAUAUCCGAAAUUACAGAGUCGUUAAUCACUCUUUUGAAUAACAUAGGGUGUGGUCUUGCUUUUCCUGAUAUCUUAUUUUAGACAUUAGGGUUAUGGUUCUUUAAGAGCGAAAGAGCGACCGCAACAAAACGCAACCUCCCUGAUUUUAUUGCGAUUGUGCUUGAUCGAUCCCUACGUGUAUUGCGCUAAUGAGUUGCUCUUCGUAUUGCGUACUAGAAAAUAGAACCUUCCUUUUAACCUCUGCUUCUCCCAGCCAGAAAGCUUUUUGCCGGAAAGCAUUACAGACUUGCCUUACCUUACAAAAACUAUAUUACGCGAAGUCACUAAAAAGUGGGAUUUUGAGUAAGACAUCGGUUGAUACAUUACACAUGAAAUAUCUAGAAAUGUGGGUGACGUGUGGGGGCGGAGUAAACAAGCAGUUUUUGAGCCCCAGACAAGAAUGGCAAAAUUACAGAAAGACUAUGGGAGCAGAAUAUGAAAAGCGAACGAAAUCUGUGGAUUUUAGAAUUCACUCAGUUAUCCAGCUCAAGUGGAAGACAUCAUUGCAAAGUAAACCAAGAAAAAUUUUAUUUAUUGGUCAAGAACAAGAACAGUGUUGUGCUGUGGGCGGUUGAGCAAACUCAGUAAAAUUCUUCGCUUCGAUGUCUAGACAAGCUGUUUAAGGGUUUAAGGGCUGAAUCCAAAGAGCAUAUUAAACACACUGAAAAGGGUCGCACGUCCGUCUACUCGCUGGACCGUGGAGCAUGCAUGUCUGGUUCCUAUGCCUGUCCGAAAGGCCAGGGCUUCCCUUGGUAAACUUCGAUCAAAUCAAUUCAUAGGAAUAAAGAAGCUAAAUAAAUAUUAUGUCACAACACAGCUGAGCAUUAAGCAUGUAUAUUGUUUGGAUAUAUUCCCUCAGGUAAUUCUACUGAAAAAAAUUGGUCAUUCGUGUGUAUUCCAACAUUUAUGCUUUUUCAUCGUGAAGUCGUAUUGUGUCUAAACGACAUGAGUACACUAAAGCUAAGAACAUUUUAAUGUUGUUGAAGAAACCUUCCUUCUUUAUUUUACUUGAGAAUGUUUUUGCCAGUAUUUUAACAUCAAUGUUUGUUGUCGUGUAAGUCGUACAAAAUCACACUUUUUUAGAAGGCUUACACAUGGAAAUUAAUACGAGGUACCAAUGUAAGGUGAAAACACUGUGAAGCCGCUUGCAUUUAAAGAACCAUAUAUGCACCCAGAAAAGCAAUAAAAGAAAAACCAUCCACUA